UUCCUUCCAGCCGGCAAGGUGCAUGUACCUUGCCGGCUGGAAGGAAAUCCUUCCAGUCGACGAGGUACAUGUGCCUCGUCGACCAGAAGGGGUUUCUUCCAGCCAACGAGGUACAUGUACCUUGCCGGCUGGAAGGAA
rnacentral:miRNA from 1 species